CUGCUUAUCGCUCUCUGUUUACAAACAUGACAAUCGCAGACGCGUGCUGCUAUAAAGACUACUAUAGCACGCGUCCGGAAUAACAUCCCAGACUCUGGGCUUAGAAAAUUCUGACCGCUAGCGUUAGCCGAGAACCGCAAGAUGUACAUCGAGAACCGGGAGGCUCGCCGUGUAAAUACAGCACCUGAAUCACAUUUUUCUGUUGCACAAUGUACCGAUAAUUUGAAAUACCAUUGGCAGAAGAAUUGGAGAAGUUGCCACAGCGUCCUUACAACUUCUUCGUCAGAUGUAAGACUAAUUUCCCAUCUUGAUUACUGGCUGCUCUAUGCACCUCUCCACAUCUAGAAGAGAGAAUUGUGAAGAUUCAAGAUGACUCUUGAGGAACUCACAGCUUAAGCGAGCCAUAAUUUAUAACAGAAGUGUGCAAAAUCAGUACUGGUAUAGUGGGUCACUGAAGUCAUUAUGUGAUUUGAAAGGGAUAAUAAUUAAAUGUGAAGUACACCUUGUUUAAGUCACCCUUUACCACAGAAUUUUCUGCUGUGAUAAUGACUUGCUAGUGUGUAAUAUUGAUCUGUCCAUCUCUCCCAACUUGAAAUUGUGGUUGUGAUAACAGACUGACCAGCCAAGGUCUAUGUUAGGUUGGAAGACUGCGUGUUUUAAGGUUGAUAAUGUGCAAGAGAAAACAGUGGAAAAUACUGAUCUUGCAGUUAAAAGUUGGCACUAGAUCAAGUAUUUAUGCAAUAUUUGAAAAAUACAGACAAAUGUUUAACUACAUAUUGUACUGUCUGAAAAAAAUAUCCAUCUUGUGACUACAGUUGUUAAAACAUUUGAUAAAUUUACAUAAUAGACACCAGAUUGCAUUUUUAGUAGUUUAUGUUCGAUAUAUGUGAGUAAUAUGCAUCAAUAUACUCAUCAGAGCCUUAUCCAUUACCUGUUUUCUGAAAUUACCCUACAGUUUUAGCUUUUAUUAUGAAAAAUAUGUUUAAACAUGUCAAGAAAAUUCCAGGCUACACUAUAGGUCUACUUAUUAGCACAACCUUUAUUUAGCUUUCACAUUCACUGGUUGCACCAAUUCUCAACCGAGUAUAAAAUUUGUCCCAGAGCAAAUUAGCGUCUUUGUUAAUUUCUUCGAGCACAAGUACGUAAUACACCCGUAUCAUGAGACACAAGGGUCUUAGAAUGAAAUACAAAUGUAGGUCAACAGAUGCCAUAUGGCAUCUAAUAUUAACUGCACUCUUUAGUUGCUACUUGUGACUUGUCACAGAAAUCACAGUUAAGACUCGAUAGCAUGUUGUAAAGAAACACAGUAGUAUGAACUUAAGCCAUCAGAUGGCACAUGGUGUUGAAUGUUAAUUGCGCUUCUUACUAUUUGUCACUGAAAUCCCAGCUAGACUCCGUAGCAUGACGCAAGGUUCACAGAAAGAAGAACAAAAUUUGGCCAACAGACGGCACACUGCGUUUACUGUUAAACGCUACUUGCGACUCCUAGUUGUGACUGAAAUUGUAGUUAGAGUCUGUAAAGUUGUUAUUGUGAUAUUUGUAACAGAUACGCGAUUUUGGUUCACCCCUAUUUCACCGAGUCUAGAGGGUAGUGCAGAAGAUUUAAGAGCCGUAUAUUCCAGGUUACUGCAUCUGCAUUACGUUUAACAGCAGUCAAUGAAAAAUAACCAAUAGAUCCCAAAGUGCCAAAUGUUUGGGUGUUUAUGUGCUCUUACACAGCAGCCACUGUUGGCUACAGACAGUUUUUUCUACACAGGAAUUUACUAAGAUAUAAAACCUUUCAAAGACAUAUAGCUUAAUCCAAAAAAAAAAAAAA